rnacentral:misc_RNA from 1 species
UUAAUUCAAAAAGUAGAUCUUUCCCGCGGACUAUCAACUAUGCAGCUGACUUGUCAGUUGCCUAGGGCAGGGUUCUUAUACUUCUGCCGUAUUGAAGUUCUAUCAAUUUUGAUUUGGCCUUAGAGAUACAUUUUGUCAGAGAUCUCUCAUCUUUUCCUGUCGCAAGCUUGUAUUUUUAUUUAUCUCCAACAUUCUCUAUGGUUUGUAAUUUGCAAAGUGUUCGGUCAUUUUCAGGCAAACUAGUGAUCCUCGAAGUG